rnacentral:tRNA from 1 species
GGGCCCGUAGCUCAGGCGGUAGAGCACCUGCCUUUUAAGCAGGGUGUCGGCCGUUCGAAUCUGCCCGGGCUCA